GCGGGGGUCGCGAAGCCAGGUCAAACGCGGAGGACUCAAGAUCCUUUCCCUUUAGGGGUUCGUGGGUUCGAAUCCCACCCCCCGCA
rnacentral:tRNA from 1 species